GAUCAGGAAGGGGCAAUGGGGAGGAGAGAGAAAGACAGGAGAGAAGGAGACGGUACUUGGUCAGUUGAUCUCUGAAAAGAGAGAGUGUCAGCAACUUCACUCAAGGGGCACCAUCUUUCUCCAGAGUUGAACCUCCAAUCUCACCCCAACAGGCUCCAGAAGUGAAGAUGAGGACACAGGAAUGCAGAUGGGGAAGACCACAUGAAUUCACAGGGAGAAGAUGGUCAUCCAUAAGCCAUAAAGAGAACUCAGAAGAAACCAGCCCUGCCUGCACCUUGAUCUUGGACUUCUUCCUGAAUUGUGGACAGCCAAAGGAAGAAGGCGUCUGCUCAACAACUAGGAAAACGGAAUCCCACUCAAAGACUCUCUCAUGCAUUGCUUCAUUUGAUUGUCACCGGCCCUAUGAUGGAGGUGAAGCAAGGAUCACUCCACCUGCUUUAGCGGCAAGCAUAGCGGCAAGGCAUAGGGAACUGAACUGUGCCAGAUGCCAACAGAGGCCUGGUUCAGCCAGCUUUUCUUUCACACCUGUGCACAUACCUACACAUAAGCAUGGACAGAAGGGAGCUGGUCAUAGAAGAGCAGCAACCAGAACAAUCCAGGUAGAGGAGCAACACAUGCAAGAGCCCCGAGGCUGGCGAACAUGAGAUGUUGCCGCCGCAUCCUUUCUCCCUGUGUGUGACAGUCCCAGGCUUUGCCACUGUUCUUUGAAAGAGGAGCCUAUGGUCACCUGAGGUGCCUGCACUAUAUAAUCCUGACAUCACAGGCGAUUCUCUGGAACGACCCAUACUGACUGUGAAAAUAUGUAAUGCUAUGGUUGUCUUAGAUCACCCUCACACAGGCAUGGAUGGGAUCCCUGAGAUGUGUCCCCAGAUCUCAAAAUGUAGGAGCAGACCUCAGGCAGUCCCUGCUUCUCCUUGCCGAGAGCAGCUGGCAGCAGGGAGAUUGGCACUUGGUGAAGUAUUCUUCAGGUGCUUAAAAUAGAUCAACUGUGUCAUUAGACCAUUGCAAAGCAGUCAUUUCAUUGGCCCUGUGCGUGCUAGUGAGGGCCAGAGAUAACAGCCCACGGAGAAAGACCUGUGCUUUGCACAAAAUUAAGCAGAUGCAAGGAAGAAGCUCUGGAACAGAUACAGGCAGUAUAAAGUGGAAUUCUGCCAGGAGAGGGGGGUGGGGCUGUUGCACAAGCAUGCAAGCAGUAACCACAGCCCCAGGAGCAAUGGGGCGGCAGUGUGGAGCCUGUGCACCACUUGUCUGGCUGCUGAAACACUUAGAAAAGAGGGCCAGAAGUGUCUAGGAGCCAGACACAGCCCUGGAGCAUUGUCUAGUAUCACUGAAAGAGCAUCUACACUGUCAGGCAGACACAGAUCAACGCAUAGAGCUGACUCUUGUGACCUUCAUACUCUCUCCCUAACAGGUUUCAAGUCCUUCCACCAUGCUGGGCUUGCAGCUGUUGAUUACUGUCCUUCCUGAGCACAGUGCUUCAGACAGAGCAUGAUCAGCUUCUGCAUAGCAGUGCUCUGAUCUCUUCCUCUCCACACAGCCUGAAACAUAUUUUCCAGUAGCCCACACUGCUCAGUUACCUCCUUCCAAAACUGAGAUCAGCCCUGCCGCCCCCACCCUCCUACUCUAGUGGCUGCCACACCUGGUGUGGUGGACUUUAGGCAGUGGUGGUGGCUGAACAGGGAAGAAGUCAAGGCCUGCUUGGGAGUGGCAACAGCCAGAUAUGGCCACAGUCUAAACACAGGGGAGCAGAAGAAAGGGAAAUGUAGGAUAACUGCUUUCCAAUCACUAGUUUAGGUGCCUGGGCAGAUGGAGGUUCUCAAUGAAUACUGCAAGAGUUGAAGCAGGUCUUUCUAAGAAUAAUUUUAUGAUACUUUAGGUUGAGUUUGAAGAGCAUUAGAGACAUCCAGAUGAGAGUCUUAGAGGAUAGUCAGAAUGAUGAACCCAAGGUUUAGAAGCAAUAUCUUCAUUUAUCUUUAUCCUAGAGCUUAGCAGAGACAGUGGGCUUUUCAUUAAUGGAUUAAUUCAUCAAGUGUCUUUUGAGUACCAACUACGUGCUAGGCACUGUGCUUUGCCUUCUAUAAAUUAUUAUUGCUUUG